rnacentral:rRNA from 1 species
GAUGAACGCUGGCGGCGUGCCUAAUACAUGCAAGUCGAGCGGAUGGAUUAAGAGCUUGCUCUUAUGAAGUUAGCGGCGGACGGGUGAGUAACACGUGGGUGACCUGCCCAUAAGACUGGGAUAACUCCGGGAAACCGGGGCUAAUACCGGAUAACAUUUUGAACCGCAUGGUUCGAAAUUGAAAGGCGGCUUCGGCUGUCACUUAUGGAUGGACCCGGGUCGCAUUAGCUAGUUGGUGAGGUAACGGCUCACCAAGGCAACGAUGCGUAGCCGACCUGAGAGGGUGAUCGGCCACACUGGGACUGAGACACGGCCCAGACUCCUACGGGAGGCAGCAGUAGGGAAUCUUCCGCAAUGGACGAAAGUCUGACGGAGCAACGCCGCGUGAGUGAUGAAGGCUUUCGGGUCGUAAAACUCUGUUGUUAGGGAAGAACAAGUGCUAGUUGAAUAAGCUGGCACCUUGACGGUACCUAACCAGAAAGCCACGGCUAACUACGUGCCAGCAGCCGCAGUAA